GGCGAACGCUGGCGGCGUACUUAACACAUGCAAGUCGAACGGGGAUCAUCGGGUUAGCAAUAACUCGGUGGUCCUAGUGGCGCACGGGUGAGUAACACGUAGGUAACCUUCCCUUGAGCGGGGGACAACGUUUCGAAAGGAACGCUAAUACCGCAUAAGUUUUCAGGAACUCUGGUUCUUGGAAGGAAAGCUAGGUCGCAAGAUCCGGCACUCGAGGAGGAGCCUGCGUCGCAUCAGCUAGNGGUGGGGUAAUGGCCUACCAAGGCGAAGACGCGUAGCUGGUCUGAGAGGAUGAUCAGCCACACUGGGACUGAGACACGGCCCAGACUCCUACGGGAGGCAGCAGUGGGGAAUAUUGGACAAUGGGCGCAAGCCUGAUCCAGCCACGCCGCGUGAGUGA
rnacentral:rRNA from 1 species